rnacentral:rRNA from 1 species
CCUACGGGUGGCAGCAGUGAGGAAUAUUGGUCAAUGGACGAGAGUCUGAACCAGCCAAGUAGCGUGAAGGAUGACUGCCCUAUGGGUUGUAAACUUCUUUUAUAUGGGAAUAAAACGUUCCACGUGUGGGAUUUUGUAUGUACCAUAUGAAUAAGGAUCGGCUAACUCCGUGCCAGCAGCCGCGGUAAUACGGAGGAUCCGAGCGUUAUCCGGAUUUAUUGGGUUUAAAGGGAGCGUAGGUGGAUUGUUAAGUCAGUUGUGAAAGUUUGCGGCUCAACCGUAAAAUUGCAGUUGAACAUGGCAGUCUUGAGUACAGUAGAGGUGGGCGGAAUUCGUGGUGUAGCGGUGAAAUGCUUAGAUAUCACGAAGAACUCCGAUUGCGAAGGCAGUUCACUGGACUGCAACUGACACUGAGGCUCGAAAGUGUGGGUAUCAAACAGGAGUAGAUACCCGAGUAGUC